UAAACGUGCUGCACGAAAAAGAACAAAAUAGAGGGUUGAGUUGCACAAUUCCUUACCUGAAUUUAAAUGACCAGUUACAAAGUUUAGAGGCUCUUAUAAACGAGACUUCAUCUCUCCUUGACAACUACUAUGUAUGAGAUCUCCAAUUUUGGGCAUUGAGUAUCAAUGAUGA